rnacentral:lncRNA from 1 species
UGGUUACACAAAUGAACUAACAAACGUGCAUGAAAAUAUAGAGCAAAUCCAAUCCAAAAAGUGAUUUGGGAAAAGUAAGACAUGGUGAGCAGUCCCUAGUUUACAACUUAACACCACAAUUGUCCUUCAAACCACCCCUUUCCCUCCCUCUAUUUAAAGGGACCAAGUUUAGGACAUGAACCCACACCCAUCCUCAAACCAAACUUCAAAUAAACCUCUACAGUACUUUCUCUCCACCCUCCCAUAAUUCUAAACCCCCCCAAAAAAAAACACUUUUGGCCAUAGGCUAGCCCUCACUAUGGCACCAUUAUUUUGUUUGCUAAUAACCCUUCUACUUGCUCCCUUUCUAUUCUC